rnacentral:rRNA from 1 species
UACAGAGACUGCAAGCGUUAUUCGGAUUCACUGGGCGUAAAGGGUGCGCAGGCGGCCAGGUGUGUCAGGUGUGAAAGCCCGGAGCUUAACUCCGGAAUUGCGCCUGAAACUACUUGGCUAGAGCAUUGGAGAGGGUAGCGGAAUUCACGGUGUAGCAGUGAAAUGCGUAGAUAUCGUGAGGAACACCAGAGGCGAAGGCGGCUACCUGGACAAUUGCUGACGCUCAGGCACGAAAGCGUGGGGGAGCAAAAAGGG